AAAAUAUUUUCUUUUUUUCAAGUUCAUACUGAAGGCUGAUGGAAAAUUCAGGCGAUGGAAUAUUCAUUCUCUUCGUUACAGGGGCUCUGACUUGUCAAAAUUUGCCAGGGAGAAACUUAGCAGAUGUCACUAUUGGUCUUUCUAUUCCUGGAUCCAAAUAAUAACCUUAUGCUGUGAAGUUUGCAACAGUCUUAGCUCUCCCUGCAAUGUACGAGGGCAGGCUGGCGGAGGGGCGAAAUCCAGCCACAAAGAAUCAAGGAACUCAGAUUUUCCUGCAUUCACGUUUUAGUAGUUUGAUAUCAUGGGAACGAUAGAUGCGACAAAUUAAGCCCCUGGCUUCACGGCGUGAGAAGUUACAAAGGGGAUGAAAUGAAGAAAAGGGCUGGCAACUUACGAGAACAGGAUACUACUUCAUCUCUGCCCUGUCUGAGACCGUGAAAGCCUGCAGUAUAGCUCCUGGAAUGAAAAUACUGAAAUAACAGGUACGAAGUAAACAACCAAGACGGACAUGUAAUGAAACUUGCGACCAUCAGAGAGGAGAGCAGGAUUAGCUCCUCCCCAGCGUAACAGAGCCACGAACGAAUACGGUUUUCC